CACCUCUAGCAUUACAAGUAUUAGAGGCAUCGCCUGCCCAGUGACUGUAGUUAAACGGCCGCGGUAUACUGACCGUGCAAAGGUAGCAUAAUCACUUGUUCCUUAAUUAGGGACUUGUAUGAACGGCUGAACGAGGAUCCGACUGUCUCUUAUUUUUAAUCAGUGAAAUUGACCUUCCAGUGAAGAGGCUGGAAUUACUAAAUAAGACGAGAAGACCCUAUGGAGCUUAAAUUUAUAAACUUAUUUAUUAUAAUAGUACUCCUAAUGGAACAAAAACAGUAUUAUAAGCUUAAAAUUUCGGUUGGGGUGACCUCGGAGAACAAAAAAUCCUCCGAACGAUUAUAACAUAGACCAACAAGUCAAAGUAACUUAACUUUCCAAUUGACCCAAAAAUAAUUUGAUCAACGGACCAAGUUACCCUAGGGAUAACAGCGCAAUCCUAUUUAAGAGUUCAUAUCGACAAUAGGGUUUACGACCUCGAUGUUGGAUCAGGACAUCCCAAUGGUGCAGAAGCUAUUAAUGGUUCGUUUGUUCAACGAUUAAAGUCUA
rnacentral:rRNA from 1 species